CAGCAGCCGCGGUAAUACGAAGGGGGCUAGCGUUGUUCGGAAUUACUGGGCGUAAAGCGCACGUAGGCGGAUAUUUAAGUCAGGGGCGAAAUCCCAGAGCUCAACUCUGGAACUGCCUUUGAUACUGGGUAUCUUGAGUAUGGAAGAGGUGAGUGGAAUUCCGAGUGUAGAGGUGAAAUUCGUAGAUAUUCGGAGGAACACCAGUGGCGAAGGCGGCUCACUGGUCCAUUACUGACGCUGAGGUGCGAAAGCGUGGGGAGCAAACAGGAUUAGAUACCCCCGUAGUCCCUGUCUCUUAUAC
rnacentral:rRNA from 1 species